rnacentral:rRNA from 1 species
CAGCACCUCAAGUGGUCAGGAUGAUUAUUGGGCCUAAAGCAUCCGUAGCCUGCUUUGUUAGUUUUCGGUUAGAUCUGUACGCUCAACGUACAGGCUGCCGGGAAUACUGCAGCGCUAGGGAGUGGGAGAGGUAGACGGUACUCGGUAGGAAGGGGUAAAAUCCUUUGAUCUAUUGAUGACCACCUGUGGCGAAGGCGGUCUACCAGAACACGUCCGACGGUGAGGGAUGAAAGCUGGGGGAGCAAACCGGAUUAGAUACCCGAGUAGUCC